ensembl:lncRNA
GGCUCUGAGCCGCACAGCCAGCCAGAGGGUCUCGUGUGGGCUUCUUCAGCGCUGUUCCCGGGGUCUCCACAAGCCCCCCUGGAAGGAUUGGAGAGAGGGAUGGAGAGGGACAAGCAUGAGGUGGCAGUGAUAACCAUACAGACGAAGCUGCUCUUGACAUGGACUCGCACAAAUGCACAAAAAAUGGCAGGACUCCCAUUGAGAUGUUGCUGAAGUUAACGUCCAAAUGCCCUGCAGACGUGGAAAGCUCUUCUUCAAGCCAUGCCUUUCCAUCCCACAAAGCCAUCAUUUGACUUUGAAGGUCCUUCCUCCUCGUUCUGCCCUUCCUUUGCCCUCAGAGGCCCAAGAUUAACUCAACACAUCAAAGAGCUGUUCCAUUCAAGCCUCGAUGUAGUACCCCCUCCCAGCACACACAUGCCCACAUGCACUUACCAUUAGAAAAAACUUUGGACCUUACCUUUCCCACCUAUUCUGUGGCCUUCAGCAUGCAGCAAGUUUUUCCCUGCCCACUGUUUGUUCUCCAUGCUGUAGGAAGCAGCAUGCUGGGUCACUUUCCCUUCACCUUUUGUGGUGUGGUCUUAAAUCCACCCUUAGUUGCUGGGGGCUAUGCUUGCAUCUCUCAAGAGCUGAUAUCGACAAUCUAGAUGGAAGCAGCCACCACCAGUGGAACGAUCAGGGCCAUGGGUCAAGCUGGUCACUUUUUCAGAGUGGUCAGUGUCCAGUGAGGCAGGUGAAGGGGGCAGCCCUUGUCACUGUGGGAAAGAGAGCAUCAAGAGGAAUUUGCAUGUAUGGCUCAGGUAACAUAGUGGGGGAAGGGUGGAGUGAGGAGACCAAAGCAGACAGAGUAACCCUGACCCUGAGGAAAAAG